rfam:Firmicutes bacterium CAG:646 genomic scaffold, scf89
GUGAGCAAGGCUUCAAAAGUUCCAUUUUUCAUGUUUACAUGAAAAAAUGGAACCUUGGAAGCCGCUAAAACAUGAGGAUGCAGCCCGGUUGGGCGAAAUCCGAAUGUUUUUAGGAUUGCGAAAGUACGAAGUACGGAGCAAUCCGUGCUCAC